GGAGAAAUGGCUGAGUGGUUUAAAGCAAUACAUUGCUAAUGUAUCAAUACUUUAUUGUAUUCGAGGGUUCGAAUCCCUCUUUCUCCU
rnacentral:tRNA from 1 species